AGGUUUGGUAGUGAGAACAUUUCAAAAGGUUUGGUAGUGAGACCAUUUCAAAAGGUUUGGUAGUGAGACCAUUUCAAAAGGUUUGGUAGUGAGAACAUUUCAAAAGGUUUGGUAGUGAGAACAUUUCAAAAGGUUUGGUAGUGAGACCAUUUCAAAAGGUUUGGUAGUGAGAACAUUUCAAAAGGUUUGGUAGUGAGACCAUUUCAAAAGGUUUGGUAGUGAGACCAUUUCAAAAGGUUUGGUAGUGAGAACAUUCAAAAGGUUUGGUAGUGAGAACAUUUCAAAAGGUUUGGUAGUGAGGCCACUUCAGAAACUCACAAGUUUUCUUGUUAGAAUUCUCAAACAUUGUCGCUGUAAUAUCAAGUUAUUAUGCCAAAGAACUUCAAAUAUACCAUGGAUAUAGUUCACCUACUUUGAUUGGCUUUCUAAAGUUCAGGAAGAGGCUUACUGUUUAUGUCUCCAUGGUAACUGCAUGUAGGGCUCAGUCAGUAAUGCAAGAAUUCGAUCUAUCUCACCCGAAGCUAUCUCUAAGUCUUGUUAUUUCUUUCACCAAUAAUGAAGAUGAUUCUAUUUAUAGCAAUCACGUUGAUGAUUCUAUUUAUAGCAUUCACGCGGCCCAAGUGUUGGUUGAGAUGUUAAGUCACGUGACGGUGGAAUAAAAGCCUACAGUCAGGAGUGUAGCUAUCAGAGCAGUCAAUCUACCAGGGUGACAGAUUCGAUUCACAAAGUAACGCGGGCUGAGACAGAUGGUGAGAAAUCGUGGAGCACCAACGGUUCUCUAACAAGGUUACAUGAAUAUGUGAGGAUAUAGCACUGUUGACACUUUAGACAAUGCAUGACAGAAGACAAGGGGACAAAGCAUGACGCCAGGCCUGUGACACUUACUUCAGAAAUACUCUAGAAUACAAACGACUUACUUACGAAACAAACCCCCCCUCCCAAAUCCUGGCUUCGCCCAUGACAUACACACACACAUAUAAUGGACAAUUCUCUAAUGGACAUACGAUGGCAAGACUACCUUACAAAUAACCAUGUUCUGGUAGAAGUUUGUCAUGGGCAGUAAGCACUACUUAGCAUUGGACAGAAUGUCUGCAAGGGAGACUAUCAAUGAAAGUGUGUGAGAGGAACUAAGAUGGGAGAACAUCGAAACAUUCAGAGUAUCGCCCUGGCUGAGAGUAAUCGGGAACGAAGCUGCCUUACAGAAGCACCGGUAACAUCCGUUGUCUUUUGAGGCCGAAGGAGACAUAUGGAAUUUAAGGUAAGAUUCAUACACAUACAGAACCAACAGUAGAAACAAUCUAUAAGACAACAUUGACCAAAUUACUAACAAAUACAAGGUUACAAAGACACUUUAAACACAAACUCAAAAUCAGCCC
rnacentral:sRNA from 1 species